rnacentral:sRNA from 1 species
ACAGAACUGCUAAUAUAGAGGAACCCGAUGAAUUCAGGAUGACCUAGUCGCUAUUUUUUGAGGCAUAUAUCUAUAAUUGGAUCUAAUUUCGAGAACUCAAUUUCCUGUAUCUACUGAGUCUCAAAAACCCCGGCAGAAAAAAGCUCCAGAGUUUCCUAUUUUGGAGAAGCAGAACUGGUUGAUUCAUCUUCAUUAUAUCCGGAAAGAUUAUGAAGCCUGCAAGGCUGUUAUCAAAGAACAGCUUCAGGAGACUCAGGGAUUAUGUGAAUAUGCUAUCUAUGUCCAAGCAUUGAUAUUUCGCCUAGAAGGAAAUAUCCAAGAAUCCCUAGAACUCUUCCAGACAUGUGCAGUUCUUAGUCCUCAGAGUGCUGAUAACCUCAAGCAGGUGGCCAGAUCUUUAUUUCUUUUGGGAAAACAUAAAGCUGCCAUUGAAGUAUAUAAUGAAGCAGCUAAACUCAACCAGAAAGAUUGGGAGAUCAGCCAUAACCUAGGAGUUUGCUACAUAUACCUGAAGCAGUUCAACAAGG